rnacentral:lncRNA from 1 species
GCAUUCUGUCCUGGGACACUCGGGGGAAGCUGUAGCCUGAAUCGUGGAAAUGAGGAGUGGGGAGAGGCUCAUGUUCUCCCGGCUUGUAGGCGGUACCCUGGAGGCUGUGGAGCCUUUAGAAGCUAUUUGCCUCAAGCUUCAAGAACACAGAGAAUGAGGAACAACUAUAUUUAAAGUCUAAAAUGUAGGCGUUGUCAACACAUGCUACAGCAGAUUUUGCAUUUAAUCCAUAUUUCCGUAUUUCUCUGCUACAAGAUUCCAGUAUGCAAACAAGAGAAGAGUGGGAAAGGAGGAAAGAUCUUGCAGCAUUCUCAUGAGAGAUGUUUUAUAAAUCAGCCUAAUAUUAAAAUGUUUUAGAGAGUCA